GGCUGGCAUACCGAGGACCUUGCAUACAGCCGACUGGAUGAGGUCGGUACCCUGGGAGGCGCAGAAGAUAGUGAUUCCGUCCUCACCUGGCACGGUCAAUGCAACCUGCAAGAUAGUGGCAGAUUGAAUGUCGUAGCAGGACUACAAAGAGUGCUGACCGUUCGGCUGACCUGUGUCUCCAUAUGGAAAUGGUGCUGCGCCCCACAAGACACCUCGCCGGUAACCACGUGACUUGAGGAUUUUAUGGCAGCUAGAGAGAACAGAAUACCUUAGCAUACAGGAAGAGAAGUAGAAUAAGAACAGUGCCGUAGCAGGGGUGGGGCACUGGGGGCAUGUCCCCUCCCCCCAAUAUUAUCAAAAUUAUAAGGAAAUGACCAGUAGGGGCGUGGCCGUGCCCCUGAUAUUUUCUUAAUGUUUGUGCCCCCACCCCCCCUACAAAUUUCGAGGCUUACUACAGCUCGGAAGCUAAGGAAGAUCGUGAGGGUUUGAUUGAACUUGAUCCCUACUUGAUAACAUAAUCUACUCACCUUCAGUAUCACCCACGGCGAUAUCCCUGAUGUAACGCAGCUCAAUGAACGACUUGGCCUCAAUAGCGUCCUUGAUGCUAAGAAUGGGAGGCUUGGCAUCUAAGUACUCAAUGUUCACCUUCUCGGCUGCCUCGUCUGCAUGCAGCUGUGUAUCUGAAGACGAAUGAUAAAGAUUUUAAGGGUGUACUGACAUUAGUGUUUGUCAGUAACGACGUUGCUACGCUGGUGGUGUUGAGCGCGCACGUCAGUGGCAAGCUUUCUUGGAGUAAAAAAAAUAUAUAUAUAUAUAUAUGCAUAACAAGUUCCCAAAAAAUUACUUUUAGUUGAUCUCAACCUUACCUUAUUUCCCAUGUUUUUAAAAACAAAAGAGCAUUUAGCGCAGACUUUCAAGCCAACGUUGUGAAUUUUUUAAUUUUUACAACCUUCGAGCGCGCAAACACCGGUUUCAAACGCUCGCGCGCGCUGUAUCCGAAUUGUUAAAAUACUUUUUCAAUUUUGAUCUUGACACGGAUGUAUCAAAUAAUCAGGAUUCGGAUUAGGAAAUCUGUAUUUUUAUUUGAAAAUCGUAAAGAAAAUAAUUCCUUAAUCAUUUCUAAAACGCAUGCUUGGUUUUAUUUGCCCAUCUUUCAAGAUUCAUAAAACGCAUUCUAUAUUUAUUUUUUAGCAAUACACCAAAAACUGGUAAUCGACUCUAUCAAAUUUUCGUCUUUAAUAAGACUUCUACAAGGCUUUUAUGCGAUAUUCAAUUUUCUUUAGCAACAGAUGUCAGCACCCUAGAAAGCAAGCCCAAAAGAACACAACUGCUUGAUUUUCUUGCGCUUGUGCGCUUGUGUUUGACCGAUUCUUACUUGUGUCAUGUGCAUCGCUGCACUUGCGCUUACGUCCAAGUGAGAACCAACCUUUUAAGAGGCGAUGUCAACAGUUUACUUCUGGUCAAUUAAGUAACAAUCUCCAGUGACUUUUUUAUGAAAAACGCGAAAAAUAUUACCAAAUUAUAAAAGCACUGUGUCUAUUGGAAGUUUCUUUGAAGAUGUGAAUGAUAAUUUAGAGAGGAUGGCCUGGUAAAUAGCGCGGAUUCUAAUAGACUCUUUUGUCUAUUGUCGGUUGAGGUUUCCGGAAGUAAACUGGUGGCAAUGCGGCUUUAAUAUAAUUCAAAACAAUAAACGUUGUUUAAGAAGGGGUUCAACAAGAAACAGAAUUCAUUUUAAAAAAACACAGCUCGUGCAUAUAUGUCUAAAAUUUUACCAAAUACCUCGUAUACCAAGCCCUGUAUACACAAUAUACUGAAAGAUCCAGCGUACUUUGCGGGCGCUCCCAAAGGUCACCUGAUACGCUGGAUCUUCGAGCAUGGACACAAACCGCCCCCUUCUUUUUCAUUUGAUAAAUUGGUUUAAUAAAUGAGCAUGUAUUGUUACCUGCUACGAUUAGUCCAAUUACGUGACCAACGUAGAGAACGUCUUUCUCACAAAAAAUCUGAUAAAGAAUAAUGUCAAUAUUUUCUCUGCCAGCAUGGUUGAUAAGUAAAUGAAUUAUUUGGU